rnacentral:rRNA from 1 species
AACGAACGCUGGCGGCAUGCCUAACACAUGCAAGUCGAACGAGACCUUCGGGUCUAGUGGCGCACGGGUGCGUAACGCGUGGGAAUCUGCCCUUGGGUUCGGAAUAACAGUUAGAAAUGACUGCUAAUACCGGAUGAUGUCUUCGGACCAAAGAUUUAUCGCCCAAGGAUGAGCCCGCGUAAGAUUAGCUUGUUGGUGAGGUAAAAGCUCACCAAGGCGACGAUCUUUAGCUGGUCUGAGAGGAUGAUCAGCCACACUGGGACUGAGACACGGCCCAGACUCCUACGGGAGGCAGCAGUGGGGAAUAUUGGACAAUGGCGAAAGCCUGAUCCAGCAAUGCCGCGUGAGUGAUGAAGGCCUUAGGGUUGUAAAGCUCUUUUACCCGGGAUGAUAAUGACAGUACCGGGAGAAUAAGCUCCGGCUAACUCCGUGCCAGCCGCCGCGGUAAGAC